rnacentral:misc_RNA from 1 species
AACUGUAGCCGAAAAAUGGGCACCUUCCACCAAAUUAUUCUGUUUCAUAUCUGCCUCAAAGCACCUCAACAAAAACUUGAUCAUAGCCACAUAAGAUUUUGAUGGGAAAAGAAGCUUUGAACCUGCCACGCUAGCAGAAUCCAACAGCGCAGGCUGCUGUUGGAUAAUAUAGUCUAGCAUGUCACAAAGUUUUGGGUACUUUAAGUUGAGGCUUUUGCUUA